AGUGAGAUUGCUGGGUCAUAUGGUAAGUUUUGCUUAACUUUUAAAGAAACUGCCAAAUUAUUUUCCAAAGUGGUCGCACCAUUUUACCAACCCACCAGCGGU
rnacentral:pre_miRNA from 1 species